rnacentral:rRNA from 1 species
UACGGAGGGGGCUAGCGUUGUUCGGAAUUACUGGGCGUAAAGCGCACGUAGGCGGCUUUGUAAGUUAGAGGUGAAAGCCCGGGGCUCAACUCCGGAACUGCCUUUAAGACUGCAUCGCUUGAAUCAUGGAGAGGUCAGUGGAAUUCCGAGUGUAGAGGUGAAAUUCGUAGAUAUUCGGAAGAACACCAGUGGCGAAGGCGACUGACUGGACAUGUAUUGACGCUGAGGUGCGAAAGCGUGGGGAGCAAACGGG